rnacentral:rRNA from 1 species
AUUGAACGCUGGCGGCAGGCUUAACACAUGCAAGUCGAGCGGUAGCACAGGAGAGCUUGCUCUCUGGGUGACGAGCGGCGGACGGGUGAGUAAUGUCUGGGAAACUGCCUGAUGGAGGGGGAUAACUACUGGAAACGGUAGCUAAUACCGCAUAACGUCGCAAGACCAAAGAGGGGGACCUUCGGGCCUCUUGCCAUCAGAUGUGCCCAGAUGGGAUUAGCUAGUAGGUGGGGUAAUGGCUCACCUAGGCGACGAUCCCUAGCUGGUCUGAGAGGAUGACCAGCCACACUGGAACUGAGACACGGUCCAGACUCCUACGGGAGGCAGCAGUGGGGAAUAUUGCACAAUGGGCGCAAGCCUGAUGCAGCCAUGCCGCGUGUGUGAAGAAGGCCUUCGGGUUGUAAAGCACUUUCAGCGAGGAGGAAGGUGGUGAGCUUAAUACGCUCAUCAAUUGACGUUACUCGCAGAAGAAGCACCGGC